GGAUGAGAAGAUUUGUUCAAUUGAAGCCAAGCAGCUAGGAGCAAUUCUGUGAUCAAUUACGUAUCUUCAGCAGGAAAAUACAUGGAUGCACUCGGGUGAUAUCCUUCCCUAUAUCUCACCAACCAACCUGUUUGAGAUCUGUUCUACUAUAUUAGUAUGUUGUGUUGUGUAUAUGCUAGUCAUGACUUUUUUUGGUUUUUGUAUUCAGCAGUAUGAGCCUGCCACAUUAUCAGUGGGUCAAUAUUGAUAUUUAUGGGCA